rnacentral:rRNA from 1 species
UGGGGGAUAUUGCACAAUGGGCGAAAGCCUGAUGCAGCGACGCCGCGUGGGGGAUGAAGGCUUUCGGGUUGUAAACCUCUUUCGCUAUCGAACAAGGCCCGCUUAGGGUGGGUUGAGGGUAGGUGGAGAAGAAGCGCCGGCUAACUACGUGCCAGCAGCCGCGGUAAUACGUAGGGCGCGAGCGUUGUCCGGAAUUAUUGGGCGUAAAGGGCUUGUAGGCGGCUUGUUGCGCCUGCUGUGAAAACGCGGGGCUUAACUUCGCGCGUGCAGUGGGUACGGGCAGGCUUGAGUGUGGUAGGGGUGACUGGAAUUCCAGGUGUAGCGGUGGAAUGCGCAGAUAUCUGGAGGAACACCGAUGGCGAAGGCAGGUCACUGGGCCAUUACUGACGCUGAGGAGCGAAAGCAUGGGGAGCGAACAGG